GUUAGUUUUACCCUACUGAUGAAGCCGUUGUGCCCACAGUAAUCCUGCUCAGUACGAGAGGAACCGCAGAUUCAGACAUUUGGUUCAUGUGCUUGGCUGAUAAGCCAAUGGUGCGAAGCUACCAUCUGAGGGAUUAUGACUGAACGCCUCUAAGUCAGAAUCCCGCCUGGAAAGCGACGAUGCAUUCGUGCCUCGGCCUCGAGAGGCGUAGCUAGACGGCCGCGUGGCCGUGGAAAGAGCCCGAUUCCGACCCGAGAGGCCGCGGCAAGAGGCGGCCUCGAAGUCGGUGGAUCCUCCUGCUCGAAAGGCGGGGUGCUAAACCAUUCGCAGACGACCUAGUUGAAGAUCGGGGUGUCGUGAUCACUAGAGCAGUACAUCUCACUGCGAUUUGUUGAGAGUAAGCCUCAAGAUCUGUCGGUUUGU
rnacentral:ncRNA from 1 species